rnacentral:RNase_P_RNA from 1 species
CAGAUGGGAUAUAACCGCGUCGUUUUGUCCUCAUGGAAGGGCGGAACGAUGAGGCGAAAGUCCGGGCUCCGCCGGAAAAAAUGCCGGAUAAUGACCGGGCAGCAUACGGAAGCUGUACAUUUCCGAAAGGAUUUGUGCAAAGCCCGUAACUGACAGACAGUGCAGCAGAAAAUAUACCGCGGACGGCUUCGCCGUACGCAAGGGUGAAAAGGCGGUGUAAGAGACCACCGUGCAUCUGGUAACAGAUGCAGCCUGUAAACCUCAUUUGGAGCAAGAUCAAGCAGCAGUUGCUUUUCCGGGCUUAUACUGCAGGUAGAUCGCUUGAAACACAGGGUAAUCUGUGUUGCGGAUAGAUGGUUAUGCCGGUGGCAACACCGGUAACAGAACCCGGCUUACAGUCCCAUCUGUUUU